UGUGCGGUAACCAGCGUUGUUAGACUCCUUUGUAAUAUUAACGUUGUGCAGAAGUUCUCUGCUUCUUAUCAUGAAAGAUCAUUUUCAAAUGAAGUUCAUUUAUCGUGCCUACACAUUCCCUUCUAACAUAAUGCUUCAAGCUGACCCACGAAAGAGGUGGAUAUAAGAGAUCACAGAGUGUGUGCUUUUUGUUUACGUGAAAUAUCCAGAGACAACGAAACUGUUGCGGCUUAAAACCGAAAGGUGGCUGGAAGGGCCAGAGGCUCAGAAACUGGAGUUCAUGGUACGCGCUCUUGAGGGAUCUUACUGAGAGAUGAAAAUGUUCUAAAACCGGUUUACAGCGAUGGCUGCAUGUGUGAAACUGUGAACACAGAUGUAUAAAAGUCAUUGAAUCGUGCAACUGACGCAUUUGGCUUGCAGGCGUGUGUCUAUGCACUACAUGCAUGUCUGGUGCCCAAGGAAGCCGGAAGAGGUUGCCCGAUCUCCUGGAACUGGAGUUAUAGACAGUUAUGUCCUGCUGUGUGGGUGCAGGGAAUUAAGACCAAGUCGCCUGGAAAAGCAGCCACUGCCGUUAAGUACUGAGCCAUGUCUCCACCUCCUAGAAGAACUCAAGUUCAGUUUCUACCACCCAUGUGGUAGGUCGCACAUAACCAUCUGCAGCCGAGUUUCAGAAGAUCCAACAUCCUGUUCUGGCCUUCACCAGAUGUGGACAUCAGAGGACAACAUUCAAGAGUUGGUUCCUUCCUUCUACUUGAGUUCGUGGCAUUGAACUUGGGUUGUCAGGCUUGAGCAACAAGUCCCUCGGCCUUCAGAACCACCUCGCCGUCCCUCAUGCAAGCCUAAUAUUAGAAUUGAGACUGAAGUCGGAAUACGCUCACCAAUUCAGUCAAUAAGUACAGUAUGGGCCUCUGAGACAGCUCAGCAGGUUCUUCUACAAUAGGGUGUUGGAAAGAGAAGUCUGCAUUUAAGGUUUGCUUUUUAAGAUGAGAGAACUUUUUUGUGGCUGAUCUAUGACACAGCUAUCAGAUGUGGGCGCUGGAAACUGAGUCCAGGUCCUCUCCAAGUGCUCUCAACCACUGAAGCACGUCUCCAGGCCCGGCUGCCAAGCCUGCUUGAUUGAAAGCAUGAGGAUAAAUGUCCCAGCUCUUGAUGACUGAGUCACAGAACCAACUCUGGAGACCCUCGUUGUGUGAUAACUACCUCUGUCCCUAAAUCAUUUUCAAUUAGUUGCUCUUCUUUACAGCAGAAACUAUCUCAGCUAAAACAGUGACCAAGAGCCAGGUGGACAUGUCUUUAAUCCCAGCACUCAGGAAGUGGAGCCUGGUCUACAGAGUGAGUUCCAGGACACCCAGGGUUACACAGAGAAAGCCUGUCUCCAAAACCAAAAUAAUUAAAACUUAAAACAGUGACAAAAA